rnacentral:rRNA from 1 species
GUCGAACGCUGGUGGCGUGCCUAACACAUGCAAGUCGAACGGAAAGGCCCUGCUUUCGUGGGGUGUUCGAGUGGCGAACGGGUGAGUAACACGUGAGUAACCUGCCCUUGACUUUGGGAUAACCUCAGGAAACUGGUAACACUACCGGCUAGGAGCUCCAGAUGCAUGGUGGGGGUCGGAAAUUUUGCGCGGUUGGGGGUUGACUUGGGGUUCAUCAGCUGGUGGGUGGGGUAGCGGCUUACCAAGGCUUUGACGGGUGGCCGGCCUGAGAGGGUGACCGGCCACAUUGGGACUGAGAUACGGCCCAGACUGCUACGGGAGGCAGCAGUCGAGAAUAUUGCACAAUGGGCGGAAGCCUGAUGCAGAAACGCCGCGUGCGUGAUGACGUCCUUCGGGGUGUAAACCGCUUUCGCCUGUGACGAAGCGUGAGUGACGGUAAUAGGUAAAGAAGCACCGGCUAACUACGUG